GUCUCUGAUGAUGAUUUACAUUAAAACUUUCGUUCUUCUGAGAAAUUCUCCUUGCGGAAAUUUAUUGGAGACCUGAACUGAAGAGAC